GUCUUAUUUAUGUCAGUCAGAGCAGUAAGGCAUAUCAAAGAUUUACAUCCAGUCUCCAUCAUCUGUAUUUCACGAACAUGCUGCAUUUGAUAAUCGUUGCAUGUCUUAUCAAUAACAUAACGACGUCCUACCACCCGCUUCCAAGACCACCCCUGAAUACUACUUCGGAGGAAGACAUAUCUGUUCGUCAAGGUGAUAAGAGAGAUUCAAGAUUGAGAUUAGUGCGAGAUACCCCAGCGCUUCAUCAAAGUGAUAGUUUUGGUAGAAACUGAAAGCAUUGAUCGUAAAAUUACGAUCUUUGGUGAAAUCACUGCUGACAAGAUCCUAGUGGGUCUAAACAAUGAAUAAUAGCAUCCAUUAAUGUUAUUUCAACAAUAAAUCUAUAGAAACUC